CACCUCUCAGGGUCGUGCCUGGAGAGUUUCCAGUACUCUACCAGUCUCGACUACGGGAGGGAGAGUCAAGCCAGAGGCGUAUCUAUUCCAUUCCUAGCUUGAGCAGGGGCUAGGAGUGGAAGGCAAUCUGCUAGAAGU